rnacentral:rRNA from 1 species
UACGUAGGGUGCAAGCGUUGUCCGGAAUUAUUGGGCGUAAAGAGCUCGUAGGCGGUCUGUCGCGUCUGCUGUGAAAACUGGGGGGCUCAACCCUCAGAGGCCGAUCGAUACUGUCGGGCUAGAGUCCGGAAGAGGCGAGUGGAAUUCCUGGUGUAGCGGUGAAAUGCGCAGAUAUCAGGAGGAACACCAAUGGCGAAGGCAGCUCACUGGGACGGUAUUGACGCUGAGACGCGAAAGCGUGGGGAGCAAACAGG